rnacentral:lncRNA from 1 species
GUAUAUGUGCUAGAGCAGAAGGCUGACUAGACCCUAAGUAUAUGUGUUAGGGUUAGUCGGAUGAACUCUAAGUAUAUAUGUUAGAGUUCGAAUAAACUUGAUAUCAUUUGAUUGAAUUCUAAGUAUAUGACUUAGAACUUUGUCGAUUUGGAGAUAUUUUGCCUUAGUUAUAUGUGCUAAGGCGAUUGACUUAGCCCUAAGUAUAUGUAUUAGGAGUAGUCGAUAUUUAAUUUUCACUCUAGGUAUAUAUGCUAGAGUAGAAAAGGUUCAUGAUGAACUUGGAUAUUGGCUCAUGAGAUUUGAGUAUUGGCUCACGAGAUUUGGUUCAUGAAUUUGGAUAUAGUUCAUGAAUUUGGCGUAUGGACUCGGUUCAUGAACUUGGAUAUGGUUCAUGAGUUUGGUGUAUGGAUUUGGUUCAUGAACUUUGAUAUGGUUCAUGGGUUUGGUGUAUGGAUUUGGUUCAUGAACUUGGAUAUGGUUCAUGGGUUUGAUGUAUGGAUUUGGUUCAUGAACUUGGAUAUGGUUCAUGGAUUUGGUGUAUGGAUUUGGUUCAUGAAAUUGGAUAUGGUUCAUGGAUUUGGUGUAUGGAUUUGGUUCAUGGUUCAAGGAAUUUGGGUUUAGUUUAACGACUUUUCGGUCGUUUGAAAUUUGGGUUUAGUUUAACGACUUUUCGGUCGUUUGAAAUUUGGGUUUAGUUUAGCGACUUUUCGGUCGUUUGAAUGUGAGUUGUUUAGUUUGACGACUUUACGGUCGGUUGGAUUUGGUUGUUUUGGGUUUAUUCGUGGACUUUGGGUUUUGGUUUGGCUCGAAUUUUUUGUAUUUGAUUAGGGAUGAACCGU